GUUGUGGUCUAUCCUAGUAGGGUUUUUCCUGUACCCUGCACAUCAUUGGAAACGUCUCAUAGAGUAACUCUGUGAUUUUACUUUACUCACAGGACUAUGGUUAGAUCUGUGGGAAAGAACUAUAAGACAGAU
ensembl:snoRNA